rnacentral:rRNA from 1 species
GGCUACUCCGUGCAGCAGCCGCGGUAAUACGAGGUGCAAGCGUACCGGAAUAUGGCGUAAAGCGUCCGCAGUGUUAUUAAGUCGAAUGUUAAAUCUGGAGCCCAACUCUGAGGCGUAUCGAAACUGGUAAACUAGAGUUUUCAGAGGCAAGUGGAUUCUGUGUGUAGGGGUAAAAUCCGUAGAUAUACAGAGGAAUACCAAAAGCGAAGGCAGCUUGCUGGGAAAAUACUGACACUCAUGGACGAAAGCGUGGGUAGCGAACGGGAUUAGAUACCCCGGUAGUCCACGCCGUAAACGAUGGAUACUAGGUGUUGGGAGGCUCGGUCCUCUCAGUGCCGUAGCUAACGCAUUAAGUAUCCCGCCUGGGGAGUACGAUCGCAAGAUUAAAACUCAAAGGAAUAGACGGGGACCCACACAAGCGGUGGAGCAUCUGGCUUAAUUCGAUAAUGAGCGAGGAACCUUACCUAGACUUGACAUCCUGGGAAUUCUUUAGAAAUAAAGAAGUGCCUUCUGGAACCCAGUGACAGGUGCUGCAUGGUUGUCGUCAGCUCGUGCCUUGAGGUGUACGGUUAAGUCCGCUAACGAGCGCAACCCAUGUCUUAUGUUGUAUUUCUCAUAAGAGACUGCCGAUUCAAAGUCGGAGGAAGGUAUGGAUGACGUCAAAUCAGCAUGGCCCUUAUGUCUAGGGCUGCACAGGUGCUACAAUGGGUGGUACAAUGGGUAGCAAUGCCGUAAGGUGGAGCCAAUCCUGAAAACCACUCUAAGUUCGAAUUGAGGGCUGCAAUUUGCCCUCAUGAAGUUGGAAUCGCUAGUAACCGCGUAUCAGCAAUGUCGCGGUGAAUAUGUUCCUGGGUCUUGUACUCACCGCCCGUCACACUAUGAAAGGAGGAAGCGCCCGAAGUACCUUUAUCCGUUUACGGAGGGGUCCUAAGGCGAAACCUCUGAUUGGAGUGAAGUCGUAACAAGGUAGCCAAGGGCGAAUCGCGCCGCUAAUGCAUGC